rnacentral:rRNA from 1 species
CUUAAGCAUAUCAAUAGGGGG